rnacentral:rRNA from 1 species
CUACGGGGGGCUGCAGUGAGGAAUAUUGCACAAUGGGGGGAACCCUGAUGCAGCAACGCCGCGUGGAGGAUGACGCAUUUCGGUGUGUAAACUCCUUUUAUAUGUCAAGAAAAUGACGGUAGCAUAUGAAUAAGCACCGGCUAACUCCGUGCCAGCAGCCGCGGUAAUACGGAGGGUGCAAGCGUUACUCGGAAUCACUGGGCGUAAAGGGCGCGUAGGCGGGUUGGAAAGUCAGGUGUGAAAUCCUACAGCUUAACUGUAGAACUGCACUUGAAACUUCUAAUCUAGAGUAUGGGAGGGGGAGAUGGAAUUAGUGGUGUAGGGGUAAGAUCCGUAGAUAUCACUAGGAAUACCUAAAGCGAAGGCGAUCUCCUGGAACAUUACUGACGCUAAGGCGUGAAAGCGUGGGGAGCAAACAGGAUUAGAUACCCCGGUAGUC